AGGUCUUUCAAAAUCCAUGUCUAGACAGGAGAUUUGAACUUCUGUCAUGGCAAUGAUUUAUCAAACACAAAUUAUUAGUUAUGAAUAAUCAUUUUUGAAAAUAAUAUAAUAACACAUGUGACAGCAAAACAGCUAGGAUCACGUAAAAGACAGGCCAGGUUGCAUUCUCCUUCAGCUUCUUCAAAAAAUUAAGUUCAACCCCAGCAAGAUGUCAAAACAAUACAGCACUUAAGGCUGUUUAUGCUGAUUUUUGUAAUUACAGAGUCUCUCCCUUUUGUGCCAUUCUUCAGUCUAACCUUGGCUAAAAGCUGUUGGUUUAGACUCACGCUGUAAUCGUGACUUCUCCUCUGCGUGCACUGAACUACUGCCAGGUUGCUUCUUAUCAACGCUUAUAAAUACUUAAAGGAUGGGUGUCAGGAGGAUGGGGCCAGGCUCUUUUCAGUGGUGCCCAGUGACAGGACAAGAGGUAACAGGCACAAAUUGAGCAUAGGAAGUUCCACCUAAACAUGAGGAGGAACUUCUUUCCUUUGAGGGUGGCAGAGCCCUGGCACAGGCUGCCCAGAGAGGCGGUGGAGUCUCCAUCUCUGGAGACAUUCCAGCCCCGCCUGGACGCGUUCCUGUGCGACCUGCUCUGGGUGACCCUGCUGUGGCAGGGGGUUGGACUAGAUGAUCUCCAGAGGUCCCUUCCAACCCCCACCAUUCUGUGAUUCUGUGCUUAUGAGGUGCUGUCUUGCUUCAGCAUUUGCUCUGUGUGUGUGUGAGGGGAAACGAACACACCAUGAGCUGGUAAUUGUACGUAACCUCCGUGGGCAGAGUUCGUAUCACUUCACAGUGAAAAUAUUGUCCUGUUUGGGGUUGGGGAAACUGAGGCACAGUGAGACGAACUGAUUUGACCAACACCACAAAGGCUAGUGAAAGUAAUAGGAACAUCAAGCAAGUCUCCUGUCCAGUGGUCUCUUUGCCAGGGAAUAAAAGGCGCAGUGCAGGACAUGGAGCUCUUCCAUCCCAAACGGAAGGCUCUUGACUGUGAGGGCGGUAACAAGCUACUUCUAUAAUUUUUUUUCUAUAACUUUAUCUGUGUGUCUGCUACUCUGCAAGAUAAGAUAAAAAAAAAAAGGAGGAAGUGUGACUUUGCUUCUCACACUUGGUUAUUUUCCACACUGAACAAUCAUUUUAAAUAAAAAAAAAAAAAGAGCAAGGUUUUACAACAUCCCAAAGAAACUGAUGUACUGAUGCCUUUACAUAGAUACAGCAGUAUCUAACACCAGAUCCCAUCAACAACAUUUAGAAAAAUCAAUAGAACUGGGGCAGAAGAUGUGGAAAAUAUCUGGGCUGAGAGCGUGGAUUGGCUUUAUGCUUCCUUAAAAAAGAAUCAAAAUCUGCUGGACUUAAAGAGCCAUGAUUCAUUUAUAUCAGCUUUCAUACAGCUGAGGAGCUAUAAAAAUGUCUAAAAAUAACAGACAGCAUUUUCCUCCAUCUAACAUGGCAAAUUCAGUAAUUACUUUCAUCCUUUCAGUACGGGAGGACGCGUCCUCUGUAGAUGAGAACGUUUGCGGAGCUGAAUGUCAGCGAUGGCAUAUACCAGAAAGUUCAAUUUGCCUUGAAAGAACCCCUGGGUCUGGUUGAGUACGAUCACAGAAGGACGACAAGAUUUCCUACAUCUGAUCUUUGUAGCCCAUGACUUAAAAGCCCACUCUCCUCACAAGGAGCCAGCUACCCUCGGAGCAUUUCCAGUACUAUGGAGAG